rnacentral:rRNA from 1 species
AUGGAUUGAGAGCUUGCUCUCAAGAAGUUAGCGGCGGACGGGUGAGUAACACGUGGGUAACCUGCCCAUAAGACUGGGAUAACUCCGGGAAACCGGGGCUAAUACCGGAUAACAUUUUGAACUGCAUGGUUCGAAAUUGAAAGGCGGCUUCGGCUGUCACUUAUGGAUGGACCCGCGUCGCAUUAGCUAGUUGGUGAGGUAACGGCUCACCAAGGCAACGAUGCGUAGCCGACCUGAGAGGGUGAUCGGCCACACUGGGACUGAGACACGGCCCAGACUCCUACGGGAGGCAGCAGUAGGGAAUCUUCCGCAAUGGACGAAAGUCUGACGGAGCAACGCCGCGUGAGUGAUGAAGGCUUUCGGGUCGUAAAACUCUGUUGUUAGGGAAGAACAAGUGCUAGUUGAAUAAGCUGGCACCUUGACGGUACCUAACCAGAAAGCCACGGCUAACUACGUGCCAGCAGCCGCGGUAAUACGUAGGUGGCAAGCGUUAUCCGGAAUUAUUGGGCGUAAAGCGCGCGCAGGUGGUUUCUUAAGUCUGAUGUGAAAGCCCACGGCUCAACCGUGGAGGGUCAUUGGAAACUGGGAGACUUGAGUGCAGAAGAGGAAAGUGGAAUUCCAUGUGUAGCGGUGAAAUGCGUAGAGAUAUGGAGGAACACCAGUGGCGAAGGCGACUUUCUGGUCUGUAACUGACACUGAGGCGCGAAAGCGUGGG